rnacentral:piRNA from 1 species
UGCACUCCAGCCAGACUUGGU